rnacentral:tRNA from 1 species
GCCACCCUUCGCGCGCGGCACGGCCCGCGCGGCUUCGGCCGGCGUCGCGGCGAACGAUUCGGGGGGCGGGCGCCGUUCGGCGUCGACGGGUUGCAC